rnacentral:rRNA from 1 species
CGCCUGUUUAACAAAAACAUUUCUAUUAGAUUUAAUUAAAGGUACUUUCUGCCCUAUGGUUAAUUCUAAAUGGCUGCAGUAUCUUGACUGUGCAAAGGUAGCAUAAUAAUUAGUUUUUUAAUUGAAGGCUGGUAUGAAUGGAAAAUUGAGAUACAUAUUUUAUUAAAUAUAAUUUUAAAAUUUAAAUUUUAAGUGAAAAUGCUUAAUUUUAUUCUUGGGACGAUAAGACCCUAUAGAACUUUAUAUUACCUAGUUAUAGUUUAUUUUUUGAUAUUAUAUUUAAAUUAAAUUUAAAUAGUUUUGCUGGGGUGGUGAAUAAAUUUAAACUUUAUUAGUAAAAAUCAUUUUAGAUGUUCUUUUAGAUCUGUUUCAACAAAUCAAGAAUAAGUUACCUUAGGGAUAACAGCGUAAUUUUAAUGGAAAGUUCAUAUUUAUAUUAUUUUUUGCGACCUCGAUGUUGAAUUAAGGUAAAUUUUGGGAAGCAGCAUUCUCGAUUUUAAGUCUGUUCAACCUCUGAACCCUUACUUGAUCUGAGUUCAGACCGG